AAUGAUUACAGUUCUUCCUGCAAGAUACCAAGAGCAGCAAUGGUACAUUCAUAAACAAUGUUCGUCUCAGCAAGGGCGCAGAAGAAAGUGACCCGAAGGAAAUAUUCUCGGGCGAUAUUGUUCAAUUUGGCGUUGAAGUUGUCGAAAACUCGAAACGAGGAGCUGGUAUGUGAUUAUCAAAAUAUUGAACAGAAAACAUUAUAGUCUAUGUAUAAUAAAUAUUAUAUUGAAUACCAGCAUUCCCCCCUUGAUGAGUAAAAUUAUCUGGCAUUAGACAACAAAUAGGGUGCCCUAAUGGGCCCUACUUUAUUAUUUUACUCUGCCCAUGGGCGUACCGGAAGUAAAAAAUUAGGGGGGGGCGGAAAGAAAUUUGCCCGACUUUUCCGGAUUGUGCCCGACCAGUACCAAAAAAUUUUUUUUCCGGAAUUUAUUUUCGCGACCUCCCCCCGUCGCCAAAAAAAUUUCAGUCAGUGUACCAUUUUAGGGGUCAAAAAAUUUUUCGGACAUACCAAAAUUUUUCAGAACAUCACACAAAUUUUCGAAAAUUGACACAUUUAUGAAAAUUUACCACAAAAUUGAUAGAAUCUGUCCCAUUUAUUUUUAUAAUAAACCAAAAUUGCUCGACUGUUGAGCGAAUAUUUCCCGACUGCCCCCCCCGCCUGGCACGCCCAUGACUCUGCCUAACACCAGACAAUUUUACUGUCAAGGAGAGAGCGUGCCGGCUCAACAGGUUAACUACCAUAACCGGUAUAUUGUGACACCGAGACUAUGUUACCUGCACUAAUGUCACAAAUUAUUGAUUCUGUAUCAUAAUUAUGUUGCAGUUACUCAUGGUUGUAUCAUAGCCACCUUAACAUUAUUUGGUCC
rnacentral:lncRNA from 1 species